UGCUCUCUCUCACUUUCUCUCAUCUACUCUAUCUCUCGCUCUGAUCUCUAUCUCUCUCGUGCUCUCACUGCUUAAUGCUCUAACUUAAGGCCAACAGUGAAGCCCUUAGUUUUUGCAGCUGUCUCUCUCAAUGCUCUCACCGCUGGCAUUUUGUUAAGCUUCUCUCUCUCUCUCUCAAUGUCGAUUUGGGUAUUAGAAUAUAUCUUAUGUCGAGUUUGGGUAUUAGAGUAUAUCUUAUAUUCAUGUAUACUUUGUUUUGUUUCCAGAUCUGCAAUAGGGUCACAAAAAAAUUCAUGUAUAUUUUUUCCUAUUACCAGAUUUGGGUAAAAGUUUGUGUUAAUUUUUUAUUCUUCUCUCUGUUUGUUUUGUUCUCUCUUUGGUGAUUUUGAGUUUGUUUUAACGAGAAUGUUUGAAUAUUUUAGGAGUAUUUUUAUGGGUUAGAUCCUUGUGCCGUCAUCUUCAUCCAUGGGUAUGUUUUAUUCUCUCUAUUUUUUUGUUCUCUCUUUGGUGAUUUUGAGUUUUUUUUUAAGAGAAGAUUUGAAUGUUUGAGGAGUAUUAGGUUGUUAUAGGUUUUAGAGUUUGGGUGGAAGUCGAAUCUUGGGAUUAAUUUUGGAUUCUGUGGGUUAGGUUUGAAGAGGGAGUGAAAUUGUGAAAGUGAUGGGUUUUGGUGGGAGAGGUUUGAAUGACCAAAUACUUGCUCCUCUUUUCUUCAAAUAGUCCUGUUUUCUUCCAACAGAUCAUUUUUGUAUUCUGGUUGUUAAAUAAAGGUGUAAUAUUAGGGCACUGAGUUGGAGAUUAUUUACAAUCAACAACUGUAAUGUGGACAAGAAGGCCACACUACAUAUUAAUGUAAUGUGGAGAUUAUUUGAAAAACCCUUGUAAUGUCUUUUUCAUAUUAAUAUUACUGAAUAAUUUAGUUCUAAUAGACAAGAGUAGUAGCAUCAGUAUUAUGUAGGACUUGGAUGACAUGAACAUUGAUCAUUAUUGUUGAAGAACUCUUUACAAGGCAUACCUAGAGGAUUUUUAUAGGUUUUGUCGAGUGAGUGUUGAUUCCUAACUAAGAUGUCCCUUCUCUUUAUUGUUGAAGAACUUGUUUAAACUUCAUUUGGGUUUUUAUGGUUUCUCAUGGUUGAUCAUUCCAAUCUUAAAUUACGUGUAAUUAUUUUAUCCUUGACCUCGAUAUCUUUUUGCAGCAUUGGAACUGAGCUCACCCGAGAUGAUUGCAAAAAAUUUUACCAUUAACUUUGGUUUACAAUUGAAGCAGCAGAGGAGAGGAAAUGAAGAUUAUGGAAUAGCACAUGUUGCUAUUUCAUUUUCACAUUUGUAGGUUGAAGAUCAUGAAAUAGCACAUGUUUUUGCUGUUAGCGCAGGCAAUGAUUAUUCAGUGGGAAACAUGAUCGUUAUGUAAUUCAUCUUGUAGUUUUAUAUUUUGUAUUGUAAUGUAAUAUAUAAAGAACAAAAUAAUGUAAGAUGUAGUGGAUUCAUGCAUUUUAGUUUUUCAUUUUUA